AGGCCUCUGGGGAACAUGAUAGGCUGGGGUCAGAGGCCUGAGGGAUCUGCUCGGCCAGGUUGCUGGAGGCACAGGGCUGGGCAGGGGCUGAGGACGAGGCCAGGAUGGACAGCCUACAACACAGCUCCAUCGGUCUACCCUCUGGCCCCCUGUGGCAGGGACGUGUCUGAUCAUAACGUGGCCUUGGGCUGCCUGGUCUCAAGCUACUUCCCCGAGCCAGUGACCGUGACCUGGAACUCGGGUGCCCUGUCCAGAGUCGUGCAUACCUUCCCAUCUGUCCUGCAGCCGUCAGGGCUCUACUCCCUCAGCAGCAUGGUGAUCGUGGCGGCCAGCAGCCUGUCCACCCUGAGCUACACGUGCAACGUCUACCACCCGGCCACCAACACCAAGGUGGACAAGCGUGUUGACAUCGAACCCCCCACACCCAUCUGUCCCGAAAUUUGCUCAUGCCCAGCUGCAGAGGUCCUGGGAGCACCGUCGGUCUUCCUCUUCCCUCCAAAACCCAAGGACAUCCUCAUGAUCUCCCGGACACCCAAGGUCACGUGCGUGGUGGUGGACGUGAGCCAGGAGGAGGCUGAAGUCCAGUUCUCCUGGUACGUGGACGGCGUACAGUUGUACACGGCCCAGACGAGGCCAAUGGAGGAGCAGUUCAACAGCACCUACCGCGUGGUCAGCGUCCUGCCCAUCCAGCACCAGGACUGGCUGAAGGGGAAGGAGUUCAAGUGCAAGGUCAACAACAAAGACCUCCUUUCCCCCAUCACGAGGACCAUCUCCAAGGCUACAGGGCCGAGCCGGGUGCCGCAGGUGUACACCCUGCCCCCAGCCUGGGAAGAGCUGUCCAAGAGCAAAGUCAGCAUAACCUGCCUGGUCACUGGCUUCUACCCACCUGACAUCGAUGUCGAGUGGCAGAGCAACGGACAACAAGAGCCAGAGGGCAAUUACCGCACCACCCCGCCCCAGCAGGACGUGGAUGGGACCUACUUCCUGUACAGCAAGCUCGCGGUGGACAAGGUCAGGUGGCAGCGUGGAGACCUAUUCCAGUGUGCGGUGAUGCACGAGGCUCUGCACAACCACUACACCCAGAAGUCCGUCUCCCAGACUCCGGGUAAAUGAGCCACUCGCUGCACCCCACGUGCUCUCGGGUCCCAAGAGCUCACCUGAGCCCCAGCGCUGUGUACAUACGUCCCGGGCCAGCAUGAAAUAAAGCACCCAACACCACCCUGGCACCCGCAA